rnacentral:rRNA from 1 species
UACGUAGGAUGCGAGCGUUAUCCGGAUUUAUUGGGUUUAAAGGGUGCGUAGGCGGACUGUCAAGUCAGCGGUAAAAUUGAGAGGCUCAACCUCUCCCCGCCGUUGAAACUGGUGGUCUUGAGUGGACGAGAAGUACGCGGAAUGCGUGGUGUAGCGGUGAAAUGCAUAGAUAUCACGCAGAACUCCGAUUGCGAAGGCAGCGUACCGGCAUCCAACUGACGCUGAGGCACGAAAGCGUGGGGAGCAAACAGG